rnacentral:rRNA from 1 species
CCUACGGGAGGCAGCAGUGGGGAAUAUUGCACAAUGGGCGCAAGCCUGAUGCAGCCAUGCCGCGUGUGUGAAGAAGGUCUUCGGAUUGUAAAGCACUUUAAGUUGGGAGGAAGGGCAGUAAGUUAAUACCUUGCUGUUUUGACGUUACCGACAGAAUAAGCACCGGCUAACUUCGUGCCAGCAGCCGCGGUAAU